rnacentral:tRNA from 1 species
AGUAGAAUGGCUGAGAUAAAAUUAUAGGUAAAGGAUUGUAAAUCUUUUAAGGAGUGUUGAAAACUCUUCUACUA